rnacentral:snRNA from 1 species
AGAUAUGAGGGUGGUCUGGCUUGCCAGGCAGGCGUCCCCUUCCUUCCUCAUUGCUCAUGCGCAUCCCUUCUGAAGCUGUGUACUUGGUCAGAGAGGACAAUUGUUCUUUCAUCAAGGGUGUACAAUUAGCUGUGCUCCUCUGUUGGAACCUCCAAAUGAGCUCUCAAGAAAACCAACAGUUGGGGCAAGUUAUAUGGGCAGCCCCGGUGACACGGGUUUGGCGCCGCCUGCAGCC